GUCAAUUUAACACAUUACCAGUACCAGUUUAUGAUCUUUUUGCCAAGAAUUUAACCUGGUGGGCACCCACAUACACAGGGGACUAUAUUUUUCCCAAAGAUAACACACACAGGUAGCCACACAUAUCCUAAAAGGAGAACUCCUUAAGGUGAAUUCACAAAUUCAGAAUGAUUUAGCCCAUCAUUGGUACAAUGCUUUACUGGUUGGUCCCCUACUGGAUCCCAGAUAAUGAAAUCAUUCUUCUAUCCUUUUGUUAUUAUAGUCCUGAUUUUAUUGUGUAUGAUUUUAUAUAACUGUCCCCUUAGUUGUACAUUGAGGAAGUGAGUACAGAAAUUAAUCCAUAAUGCAGAACAGAAACAAUUAGAAAUUCUCCUCUCUGCCACUGGAGGGUAUCAACCCAUCUUUAAACUGGGCCUUAGGAAUUACCACAUGGGAAUCGAGGUGAAGAAAUUAAUGAAAGUCCCGCAGGGAGUGACUAGCACCCCUGAAAAUACCAUGUGGAAGUUUCUCUGUCCUGGUAAGAUUUUAUCGAUAAGAUGAGCAAUUUUUUUAUUGCUCAAAGAGGGGAAUGUAAGAAUAUGAAAUAGUUAACGUGUUCAUAUGUAUUUUAUGCUUUUAUAAGGUUUAUAAAUAUUAUUGCUGACUGAAAGGAUAUGAAAUAGUUAAACUCAAU